UGCUCACAGGGAGCAUUGUGACAUAUCACUGAGCCCAGCACCCAGGUGAUGGGACUCUACUGCCUGUCCCCUGCUUUCAGGAGGAAAUUGUAACAUAUCUCUGACCAAGCACCCAGGUCUCUCCUGCUCACUCUCUAUCCACAGGUUCUGCCCACAAAGGAGAUUGUGGCAUACUGCUGGGCCUAACACUAAGGUGAUGUUACUUCUCUGCUUUGGCUAUGUCCUUAGAAGGCAUUGAGACACACUGCUGGGCCCAGCACCAAGAUGAUGUGAGUCCUCUGCCUGAACCCUGACCACAGGGAGCAUUGUGACAUAUUUCUUGACCCACUGCAAUCUCUCCUAUGGACAAAGCCCAGGUUGGAUUGUGACAUAUACUUUAGCCCAGCUCACAGUUGUGAUAAUGACACUCAUACUGACAAAUCAGUCAGUAGGAGAGAUACUGGCACUUGUAGCUAAACUUAGAGAAACAGGGGGUCAAGCACACAGGUUAUGUAACUCUCCUUGCUGGGUCCUGCCUACAGGAAGCUUUAUGAUCUAUCUGUGUAU
rnacentral:lncRNA from 10 species